GCGGGCAUAGCUCAGUGGUAGAGCAUCAGCUUCCCAAGCUGAGGGUCGCGGGUUCAAUACCCGUUGCCCGCUCCA
rnacentral:tRNA from 1 species